CACAGCCUCAGCCAGGAGGGAGCAGGCCACAGAAAGGGGUCCCCAACUAUGACCCUACAGUCCUGGAUAGAAGGGAGCAGAACAGCAGCAGCUGGGAUGUUGUGGGUCAGCUCAUGAGACAUUUGCAUGGAUCUGGUCUCUGACAUGGCGGCUGGCGACCUGGGCAAGCUGCUUUCCCUCUCUGAGCCUUCCCAUCAAGCUCUCCGAGCCCUGACCACCUACCUGAUGCCAGCCUGGGGACUCCUGUUCCUGCUCUGGGCCGUGGCACAAGCCACCCAGUCCUGUCCUGCACCGUGCACCUGCCAGGCCUUGGAAACCAUGGGGCUGAGAGUGGACUGCGAGGGGCGGGGGCUCACAGCCCUGCCUGCCCUGCCAGUCCACACUCGCCAACUCCUGCUGGCCAACAACAGCCUGCACUCCGUGCCCCCAGGCGCCUUUGACCACCUGCCCCAGCUGUGGAGCCUGGACAUGACACAGAACCCCUGGCAUUGCGAUUGCAGCCUCACCUAUCUGCGCCUUUGGCUGGAGGACCACAUGCCAGAGACCCUCCAGCACAUCCACUGUGCUAGCCCCAACCUCGCCACCCUCCGCCCUCUGGGCCAGCUGACAGGCUACGAGCUGGGCAACUGUGGCUGGCAGCUGCCAGCAUCCUGGGCCUACCCGGGGAUGUGGUGGGAUGUGGCACUGCUGGCUGUGGCUCUGCUGGGCCUGGCUCUGCUGGCUGGCCUUCUGUGUGCCUUCUUAGAGUCCAUGGACUGAACCCCACACCCCAGAGUGACCACAGGCCAGGAGGCCAGGCCUAAGGCAGCACCGCAGACCCACCAGCCCUGCUCAGGGAAAACAACUUUCCUCCAAACGCUGACUCCAGCCGUCCCCAAACUCUGAGUCUCCUCCUGCCCAAACAAAUCAUCAAAUCAUCAACGGUCAUCAAAUUCUUCACAUGAGACAACUCUCUCCCUCUGAGGAACUCUAGUACCAGCUGUUAAAAUACUUCCACGUGGCUGAGCAGAGCCCCAUGUGCUCCAGUGACAGCAAGGGAGGGCCUGCGGGUAGGAGGGCACCACCAUUUCCUACUGUUAUAAUAAAAUACCCUAGCCUUGGCAACCGAUAAAGAACAGAGGUUUACUCAACUCGCAGUUGGGAAUAUGGGAAGUCCAAGAGCACGGCGCCAGCGUCGGUUUGUUAUCUGGCAAGGGCUUCUUGCCGCAUCAUAGAGAGGGCUCAAUUUUACAGCAAAGCCACUCCAUCUAGGACCCAUUCGUCCACCCUCACCAGGGCGGACCCCGCCAAACCCAACCACCUUCCACAGGUGGUUCCCACCUCUCCACACUGAGACACCGGGGUCCAAGUUUCCAACACAUGAAAUUUGACGAGCCAUGUGCAGGCCAUCAUCUGGAAUGUCACCUAGUAAACUGGGCCCCUGGCAGCCUGUUCUUCCUCCCCUCCCAAGGCACACAGGCUGGGGCACAGACAGGGAGCCUGUCUGACACCACACCCACAUGACUUGGGCACUCCAGAUACACUUCCAGGUGAGAGAAGCCUCCAAACAUACUUUCACUGUACCUGCAUGAUGCAUAAGCCUCAGGUUCAACAGACAGCACCGGGGGGAAAAAGGCCAUUGCACAACCAAUACUUGAAUAAAUUCUUUUGGGAAAAAAUUUAAAUAGCUCACCCACUCCCUGUUCUGGUAGAGGUCACCUCUGCAAUAUGUACAUGUACCCAGCAAAAUACUGUCUGUGUCAGGUGAAUUUGUAAGUGGUUUCAUGCUUCUUGUUUCUUCUGAAACUGGUUUUUUUCCCAGCGUGCCAUUUAUAGAUCACCUGUGUUGGCUUCAGAGAGCUCCCGCCGUCAGCAUUUCCUUUUUUUUUUUUUUCUAGCAUUUCCUUAUUGGACGUAUUUGUCCUCUGUUGGGCCAACGUGUUUCACAAACAGGCUUCAUUGUACACCUGUGUACACAAUGUCCCUAGACUACCAGUCACAUUUCUCACUAUUGUGUUUUGUUUUAGACCAUAACUA